UAUCUGUAGCUAGUAGAAAUUUGAUUUCUAUCUCUAUGCUGGUAUAGGAUAACUAUAAUUUUUAUUUCAAUAAAGAUAAAGUAUUCAAUUUAUUUCAGAAAUAAAGUUGUAGCACAUGCUUUUUUGAUUGAUGAUCUUUACCAUUUGUAUACAGAUGCGAGUGUAAAUAUUAACGAGCAAGUUGUGAAUGCCAUAGGGUUUAAAAGACUUAGAGAUAGGAUUAGCCAAAAGUAUCUAUGGCACCUUAGGCUAGGGC
rnacentral:lncRNA from 1 species